rnacentral:tRNA from 1 species
AUUUUUCUAAUAUAUUAAAGUAUAAUUGACUUCCAAUCAAUAAGUCUGGUAUCUCCAGGAAAAAUA